CGUUAUAUAAAUGUAACUGUAACUAACUAACUAACAGGACUGUACCGGAACUGAACCUGCACUGAGGUCACCAUUUUUACUCGUGAUUUGUCUUUAAGCAAUGUGUUGCAUUAUGGGAAUUCCGUAUCUUCUGUGGUUUAUGGUUCAGACACCGCUGCUGGAUGUAGAUGUGCUCAUAUUCUUGGACCUUGUGUUCAGCAUAUAAGCUUAAAGGGGCCGUGUGUAAUAUUUCGAGCUGUCCCCUUUCCGCAGACUGACUUCACCCACUCUUUCUAAACUGCGUACACAUCGUAAGUUUCUAUUUGCAGAAAGGGAGUGGUGCUGAGCAGAUCCGUUAUUAUUGUGGGCGGGGCUAAUUUCAGGGCCAGAAAUUUUAACAAAGCCUGAAUUUAAGAAAAUUAGAAAUCAAAGUAUUUUUGGAAUGGAUUGAUUGUUACAGACGUAGGAAUAUUAUAUAAUAAUGUUACAAACUGCACCUUUAAAACCGGUGUGAAAAGUCCGUCCUACGUAAUAUGUUACGAUUGGUUUAACUUUAAAACGUUUUAUAUUGUGAGAGCUUCACCUUACAAAAAAAAUAUACAAAAAUAUAGAAAACGCACAAACUAAUGAUCAGGUGUAAGUUUUAAGGCGUAACCUAAAGCUACGUUGAGGACGUUUCACUGUGUGACUCAGUACAGUGAGAAUUUACUCUCAGGCUACAAUCAGAAAAUACUUAUUUCAUUUAGACUUCUCAGGUUCUGCUUACAAAUAAAUAAAGUUCUUAGCUUCAGUAUUUUUUCCUUUGUUUACGAGCAAAAUCACAUUUCUGUGCAUUUUAAGGUGUUUUUUGUUAACUGUGUUUAAAAUAUCCGAUCAACACCAAAUCACACCAUGAGAGAGUCUAUUAGUGUAAUUCGCUCAGUAAUAAAUGAACUUUAAUACUAACUCCGCCCCUAAUCCUAACCUUAACCUUAACCUCUGUAGCUGAUCAUCAAGUGUGAAAAUGUGAAAGAAAGAAAACACACACACACACACACACACACACGCGCGCGCGUUCCGACUUACAGUUUUAGCUAAAAUAUUAGAAAACUGCUUUAUGUACGUUUACAUAACUGUUUUGAAAGUUUUUUUUUUUUUUUAAUUAUAUAAUAUUUACAACCUAAUUUUUUUUUCUUUACAUUUUUGGUGAGAUCUCUCUGUGGUGCUGCCGCUGUCCCUGAUCAAAAUGUACAAGAGUUAAAGCUCAGAAACACCUGAAAGUAUUGUAGAAAAACGUCCGUGAUAAUAAAACUGUUCCGUUUCCGCUGCAUCACAGGAGUCAGCGUUAAACAUACUGACUUUCACCGAUGGAGGUUUUUACUGCUGUACUGGAGAAUAUUCGAGUGUAUCACUGUCUCUCAGCGUCACUGUAGACAUCAUGUUCUUCUUCUUCUUAUUCAUCACCUUUAAGUCACAUUUAGAACAGAGUUACGGUCAUUAUGUGUGACCGGAUAAAAUGUACAGGUGCUAACUCUGUAGUACAAAUAAUACAAAUGAAAUAUGACUUUAAAUAAUAAACACUUGUUUACUCUUGACUUUAUUCAUUUUGAACACUAUUGCUGAUUUCUCUGAUUCUGAAAUGGAACUGCACAGGGUUCCGCUCCCGGCGAUGCUGUCGGCUGAGAGCUCCGCCAUGAUGGGUGACAGGAGGGGGGUACUAAACGGUACCUUUCCUUGUCGUCCAGGUGGUACCCUUAAGCGUACACGUUUUGUACCGGGUGAUAGACAGAGACGAAAGGUACGACAGAGGAGCCGUUGGUGCGAGUGUACGACGACAACGACGACAGCGGAGAGGAAAAACUCCCUGAGACAACAGGAAGAAGAACCCUGAGAGGAACCAGACUCAAAAGGGAACUGGAACGGUCCUGUGUGACGCCAGAUAGUGCGAUUAUAAAUAAUUACAGUAUAGAGGUGUAGACCUCUAUAUACCGAGAGACAGAACUGUUCACGUAUCACGUAUUUCCAGAUGUAUUUCCGGAUGCUGUUCUCGUAACAGGGAUUUUGAUUUUUGUUCAAAUAUUUAAUGUUCGAAUGUUUAAUUCGAAUGGAG
ensembl:lncRNA